ACUUUUUGGUAAGAAGAUGUUAACGAAAGUUGUUCGUCUUGAUCAGGGCUACAACUUUGCUUAAUAUCCUUUUAACAAAUUAUGCGUAUUUAAGGAGAUAGGGCUGCGCAUGCGCAGAACGUAUCUCCUUACCUUUGCACUUUUUGGUAAGAAGAUGUUAACGAAAGUUGUUCGUCUUGAUGAGGGCUACAACUUUGCGUAAUAUCCUUUUAACAAAUUAU
rnacentral:miRNA from 1 species